rnacentral:rRNA from 1 species
CCUACGGGCGGCAGCAGUGGGGAAUAUUGGACAAUGGGCGAAAGCCUGAUCCAGCCAUGCCGCGUGUGUGAAGAAGGCCUUCGGGUUGUAAAGCACUUUCAGUGGGGAAGAAAGCCUUGGGGCUAAUACCCUCGAGGAAGGACAUCACCCACAGAAGAAGCACCGGCUAACUCCGUGCCAGCAGCCGCGGUAAUACGGAGGGUGCGAGCGUUAAUCGGAAUUACUGGGCGUAAAGCGCGCGUAGGCGGUCUGAUAAGCCGGUUGUGAAAGCCCCGGGCUCAACCUGGGAACGGCAUCCGGAACUGUCAGGCUAGAGUGCAGGAGAGGAAGGUAGAAUUCCCGGUGUAGCGGUGAAAUGCGUAGAGAUCGGGAGGAAUACCAGUGGCGAAGGCGGCCUUCUGGACUGACACUGACGCUGAGGUGCGAAAGCGUGGGUAGCAAACAGGAUUAGAUACCCCUGUAUUC